rnacentral:lncRNA from 1 species
GGGGUCAGAAAUCCGAAAUGGAUCUCAGCAGGAAAAUCAAGGUGAUCCGAGAGUCCCUGUUCCCUCUCAAGGUUGGGUGUGGGGAAUGUUUGCUUGCAUUGCCCAGCAGUUAGAGGCCACCUGCAUUCCUUGGCUUGUGGCCCCCUCCUCCAUCUUCAAGCCAGCCUUGGCUGGCCAGGUCUUCCACACCCCGAGAGGCCAACUCUCAACUCUGCCCCUCCCGCCUCCCUGUUCCCUGUACGAGGUCCUCUCACGAUGGCACCAGGACCCCCAGAUAAUCCAGGACAGCCAAUUUCCGUGUAAUGCAACAGUCACAGCUUCUACUGAGAUGUGAGCCUCUGCGGAGACUGCGCUUCUGCCUCUGUCUGCCCAAUGGACUGGCGUAGGAUGCUUCUCCCCACAUCCCAGCCCUGAGAACUCCCUGGGCCUCGGUUCCUCCAGCUGUCAGGGACCUGAUUCCACAGGACCACCAGACUCUGACACCUCGGACUGUGUCUCUGCCAGGCGACUGGGUGAGCAUCUCAUUUACGCAGCCCCAUUUUAAGGAAGAGGACUUAUGGUUAAGGCGCCAGGACUGCCGGGUCACCCCACCCAAAUGCAGUGCAGAACCUUUACGACAGCAGCUUUCCCCAGGGGCCACUCGGCCCCCUGCCUGUGGCUCUCCACUGCUUUAUCUGCUAGGAUGCAGAGGCCAACACUUUCCGGGUGGGCGGAGCUCUCGGCUCCCAAAGUUUGAGACCCGGCUCAGCCUCUGGGUGGGGGUGGGGAUCAGGACUACCACCUGGGUGUGUUCACCCGGGAAGGGGGUCAGGCAGGGCAGAGAGAGGUGCUUCUGGAAUAACAGGAUUCGGAUUCAAGAUGGAUCACUACUGUUGUUCCCGGUAGAGCUAAUUAAUGCACGCUGACCUCUUUCCCUGUCCCGGGCAUCUCGCGCCCUGCAGCUGGGAGGAUGUGGGGCGCGGAUGGGGGUGGGCAUGGGACCUGCCAGGGGUCUGCUCGCUCCUCUCCACCACCACCCCCCGUUUGCACACCUGCUUCUUUGCACACCAGGCAGGGGCGCAGAACGAGCGAAGCGCUGCAGGCCAGGCGUAGCGGGGACUGAGGAACCUAGGGGUGGGGUCUUUAAGGGGCCCCUCUGCUACCUCUCCCCGGUUUCCGGCCGCCGGCCGGGCGCUCCCCCCAACCCCCCAUCCUUCUUCCCAAC